rnacentral:rRNA from 1 species
CCCUUAGAUGUCCGGGGCCGCACGCGCGCUACAAUGAAGGAAUCAGCGUGGCUUUCUCCCUGACCCGAAAGGGUUGGGAAACCCGUUGAAUCUCCUUCGUGAUAGGGAUUGGGGCUUGAAAUUGUUCCCCAUGAACGAGGAAUUCCCAGUAAGCGCGAGUCAUAAGCUCGCGUUGAUUACGUCCCUGCCCUUUGUACACACCGCCCGUCGCUACUACCGAUUGAACGGUUUAGUGAGGGCCUCGGAUUGGUCUCGGCCCGCUCUUUACCGGGCGGCGCCGUUGGUCGAGAAGACGCUCGAACUUGAUCGUUUAGAGGAAGUAAAAGUCGUAACA